rnacentral:rRNA from 1 species
CAUCAUUUAAAGAAAGCGUAAUAGCUCACUGGUCGAGUCGGCCUGCGCGGAAGAUGUAACGGGGCUAAACCAUGCACCGAAGCUGCGGCAGCGACGCUGAUGCGUUGUUGGGUAGGGGAGCGUUCUGUAAGCCUGCGAAGGUGGCCUGUGAGGGUUGCUGGAGGUAUCAGAAGUGCGAAUGCUGACAUAAGUAACGAUAAAGCGGGUGAAAAGCCCGCUCGCCGGAAGACC